rnacentral:lncRNA from 1 species
AAAAAGAAAGAAAGAAGACAAGCUUUGAUUGCCUAGAGGAUUAGGAGAAAAAGUACUUACUUGUGUGUAACUUCUGUAAUUGUCAGUAAGGCACAGUAGUGAAGAGAUACUCAAGUGUUUGAUCUCUUAGUCAAAGGUAAAAUACUCUAGCGACUGAAGGAAUCUUUUGAGAUGUUGUCAUUUGUCAUGGUAACCAUAUGUUUCAGAGGUUCCAUUCUGGAAUGGAUGUGGUUCCUGCCUAUAAAGUGGCAGUUAAUGCUCACCUGUCACUUGAAGAGGGAAGCUUCUGGUUCAUUCAUUACCAGCACUAAAAGAUCAGUGUUCAAAGGACUAAGAUCCAGUAUAAAAAAAGCCAAAGGUCAUGAAGAUACAAUGUAUUGAAAAAGAGAAGGCCAAGAAAGUGAUUCUAAGUGCUCACACCGACCAGUAAUCAAAAUGCC